CUUUUCUUUGCUCUAAAUCCCUCCACUCAACCUCCUCUUUUGUCUGCAGAAUUCUAGGAAGUGUUGGUUCUGUUUCUCAUCAGCAGGGCCCCAUGCUCCCUGUGGAGCAGGGUCUCUGGGCAUUUGCACAUCAUCCCUACAGGCAAAUGUUGGGUGUGCAGAGCCUCAUCUCCAGGUCCAGGAUGUCCAGAACCAGCUGGAAUCAGAGGCAUUCUGGCCCUUUUCCUUGCCACAUGGAAAUGUCAUUUGCAAUCAGCCGGCUGUAGUUGGAGAGCUGCCUUUUAGGGGGUAUACAAGACCCACAAAAAGCCAAAGACCCUACUAUCCAAGAGACUGCAGUGGAGACCAACGGAUUAAGCCAUUCAGCAUGUUCAACUCCACCAUCACCCCCGGAACUACUGCUGGGGGGAGACGUGCCAGACUGGUCUCCAGGUUCAGUGAUGUCAUCCUGAUACCUUGAAACUGACCGCAGUGCGAGAAUUUCCAUUAUGGAAAUGAGGAAACGUCCCACACUAUAAUCAGAGCUCCCCCAUCACCCAGAGGGCCUGUGGUCAACCAUCUACCAGCACACACCUGACCGUAGAGAUUGGCAAAGUGAGGGCUGCAGAGCCUUCGGUGACUUUCUCAGUAACUUUCGGCCACGCUGAAUGGAAGCUCUCGACCCCCUGCUUUCUCCAUCAGACUAAGCUGUGCCAGUACUCCUGGGACCUCGUGGCCAGGGUGGAGGGCAUUUCUUUGUUCAGAACAAUCUGGGCUCCUCCGAAUGCCCCUAUCCUUCUUAUAAUGAGGUCUCUCCUCGGCUUCUGUUUCCACCCCCCUGAGCUGAGCCAAAACAUCGCCCCCCUCUCCCUGGUUUUGUAAAGCCUGCUGAGAGUCUCAACUGGAGGUAUUUUCUCUUUCUUUAACGGAGAAGCAAAGCUCACCGCUGAUA